rnacentral:rRNA from 1 species
UACGUAGGGGGCAAGCGUUGUCCGGAUUUAUUGGGCGUAAAGAGCGUGUAGGCGGCUAGGUAGGUCCGUUGUGAAAACUCGAGGCUCAACCUCGAGACGUCGGCGGAAACCAUCUGGCUAGAGUCCGGAAGAGGAGAGUGGAAUUCCUGGUGUAGCGGUGAAAUGCGCAGAUAUCAGGAGGAACACCCGUGGCGAAAGCGGCUCUCUGGGACGGUACUGACGCUGAGACGCGAAAGCGUGGGGAGCAAACAGG